rnacentral:rRNA from 1 species
UGGGGAAUAUUGGACAAUGGGCGAAAGCCUGAUCCAGCCAUGCCGCGUGUGUGAAGAAGGUCUUCGGAUUGUAAAGCACUUUAAGUUGGGAGGAAGGGCAGUAAGCGAAUACCUUGCUGUUUUGACGUUACCGACAGAAUAAGCACCGGCUAACUCUGUGCCAGCAGCCGCGGUAAUACCGAGGGUGCAAGCGUUAAUCGGAAUUACUGGGCGUAAAGCGCGCGUAGGUGGUUCGUUAAGUUGAAUGUGAAAGCCCCGGGCUCAACCUGGGAACUGCAUCCAAAACAAGCGGGCUAGAGUAGGGCAGAGGGUGGUGGAAUUUCCUGUGUAGCGGUGAAAUGCGUAGAUAUAGGAAGGAACACCAGUGGCGAAGGCGACCACCUGGGCUCAUACUGACACUGAGGUGCGAAAGCGUGGGGAGCAAACAGG